GCCCUCGUAGCCCAAUCGGCAGAGGCAGACGACUUAAAAUCGUCCCAGUGUGGGUUCGAGUCCCACCGAGGGCA
rnacentral:tRNA from 2 species